rnacentral:rRNA from 1 species
CGCGCAGGCGGUCGUUCAAGUCGAGUGUGAAAGCCCCCGGCUCAACUGGGGAGGGUCAUUCGAUACUGAUCGACUGGAAGGCAGGAGAGGGAAGCGGAAUUCCCGGUGUAGUGGUGAAAUGCGUAGAUAUCGGGAGGAACACCAGUGGCGAAGGCGGCUUCCUGGCCUGUUCUUGACGCUGAGGCGCGAAAGCUAGGGAGCAAACG